AUUGAACGCUGGCGGCAUGCCUUACACAUGCAAGUCGAACGGCAGCACGGGAGCAAUCCUGGUGGCGAGUGGCGAACGGGUGAGUAAUAUAUCGGAACGUGCCCAGUCGUGGGGGAUAACGUAGCGAAAGCUACGCUAAUACCGCAUACGAUCUAUGGAUGAAAGCGGGGGAUCGCAAGACCUCGCGCGAUUGGAGCGGCCGAUAUCAGAUUAGGUAGUUGGUGAGGUAAAGGCUCGCCCAAGCCGACGAUCUGUAGCUGGUCUGAGA
rnacentral:rRNA from 1 species